UGUUUUUUUCUUAAAACAGGUACUGAGGAUAAAACAAUAUAAAAUAAUAUGAGAGGGUCUUUCUCUUCCUUCAUUCCCCCCUUUUGAGACUCUCACUUUUUAUUAGCGGGAGUUCUCACUCUUAUUUUUGUUACUUAUGUCUUUUUGUGCAACAGAUUGAUAGUGAUUUAUAUAGUACACUUGUGCUGAAGCACUUUGGUGAACUAAGGUAGCGAUGAAGCUUUUUAUCAUUUGAAGAAGUACAGGUAGGAAACAAAGGAGCGUGGUUUCUCAGAGACUUGAAUGAAGGGCAUCUGGAUCCAGAGUGCCAGCUCUUAACCACCAUGUUAUGCUGAGUCUUCUAUUUGAGCAAUGGAAUAAACUGUUCUCUGCAAUGACUACACUCACAUUUGUUGGAGCUAUGUGUGUUCAUUGACUGGAGCCAACUGUUGUGAAAUGGGUUGAAUUCUUGAUUUGAUUCUU
rnacentral:lncRNA from 1 species